AACGAACGCUGGCGGCAGGCCUAACACAUGCAAGUCGAGCGAACCCUUCGGGGUUAGCGGCGGACGGGUUAGUAACGCGUGGGAAUAUACCCAAAGGUACGGAAUAGCCUCGGGAAACUGAGAGUAAUACCGUAUGUGCCCCUCGGGGGAAAGAUUUAUCGCCUUUGGAUUAGCCCGCGUUGGAUUAGGUUGUUGGUGGGGUAAUGGCCUACCAAGCCGACGAUCCAUAGCUGGUUUGAGAGGAUGAUCAGCAACACUGGGACUGAGACACGGCCCAGACUCCUACGGGAGGCAGCAGUGGGGAAUCUUAGACAAUGGGGGAAACCCUGAUCUAGCCAUGCCGCGUGGACGAUGAAGGCCUUAGGGUUGUAAAGUCCUUUAAGCUGGGAAGAUAAUGACGGUACCAGCAGAAGAAGCCCCGGCUAACUCCGUGCCAGCCGCCGCGGUAAAAC
rnacentral:rRNA from 1 species